rnacentral:rRNA from 1 species
UACGUAGGGUGCGAGCGUUAAUCGGAAUUACUGGGCGUAAAGCGUGCGCAGGCGGUUUUGUAAGCCAGAUGUGAAAUCCCCGGGCUUAACCUGGGAAUGGCAUUUGGGACUGCAAGGCUUGAGUGCGGCAGAGGAGACUGGAAUUCCUGGUGUAGCAGUGAAAUGCGUAGACAUCAGGAGGAACACCGAUGGCGAAGGCAGGUCUCUGGGCUGACACUGACGCUCAUGCACGAAAGCGUGGGGAGCAAACAGG